GUGAUUGGUAAAGCUCCACGAUUUACCAGAGCUGCUGAGCAUGCAGAUAAAGUUCGGAAUCUCGUUAGAAACGAGUGGGCGCAUUGUGGUGACUUAACAAAUUGGACUGAAGAAAAAUUUGAAGCCGCUUUUGCAAGAAUGGAAGCUUUACUUAAGAUUCUUAAUCUCUCGUGUGAUGAGCUGAAUGACUGUAAGGCCAAAGGUAAUGAAAUUGCAAUUCAUUUAUUGCAAGGAACAUACAAUUGUAAUUAUUUGUCUUCCGUACAGAAUUCAAAUAUAAUCCCCCAAUAUUUUUUUCUUGAAAUGUAUUUGAAGGACCCAAAGUUGUGUGUAGAUUGUCAUUGACAGCAGGAAAAGGGUUGGUAGCC